UGGGGGGAGCCUGGCCCCCCUCCCCAGGAUCCCCUUCACUUCCUGGGCCUCUAGAUCCAGGUAUUCAUGGACCCACCUUGAUCUCCCAAUUCCAGUGAUGAACACAGGGCCUGAGGAGGUUUUCUUGGGGAUUACCUUUCUGUCCCCCAGGCUCUUUCGGCCAGGAGGUUUUCCAGAUCAGCUCCUGUGUUCCAGGAAUCACAAACUCUCCUGAUCCCUUCCUUGCUCCAGAAGUUAUUCCAGAACGUGGGGAAAAAUUGUAUUUUUUGUUUAACUCCUUUUGGUGAGAUUUAAUCCUUGAAAUUCCCCAGUUCCCAUUACUCCUUCCUUAGCGUUUGAACCCACUUUUCAUCCCUCAUCUCAAAAUGUUGCAGAAAUGCUGGAAGCUCUGUAGGAGCUGUACCCCAGAUUUCCCUGAUAACCCAAAUUUUCCACUUUUCAUCCUAAAACUCAGAACUGAGUGUUGGGAAUGUGAGCAGUGACCUGGGAUGGACUCGGAUCCCUGGGAAAUCCAUGGACCUUUCGGCUACUGAGCCAAAUCCUUGGGGAAAACAUUGGAGAACUUGAGCCAUUCAAUAGGUCCAGACUGCCCAAAUCUUCUGGUGAUCAUCCCAAAAAUCCCAUUUUUUGGCUAAUUCCUGCCUGGAAUAACAUCUGGAUUCAUUGGUGCUCCCAGAGCCUUUCUGGGACCCCAACAUUCCCUUCUGGAGGGGACAGGGAAGGAUCCCUGGGCUGGAUCCAGAUCCCACCCGAAACCCAACCCCCGAAGGGCUCCAGAUCAUCCAGAUUCAUCCUGGAAGUUUCCCAAUGAGAAUCAGGUCCAAAAAUUCCCUUGUCCAACGCGGAGCUGGAAAUUUCCCCAAAUCCCAAGUAUUGCUGUGGUUUUUUUGGGAUUUUUUGGGCUUUUUGGGAUUAAGAAAAUCCCAGACAGGUUCAUUCCCAGUCUGGCAUCUGUGAUGGACUGGGAAUUCUUGGAGCACCAGGUGGUUUUUCUGAACUUUAGG
rnacentral:lncRNA from 1 species